CCUACGGGAGGCUGCAGUGAGGAAUAUUGGUCAAUGGCCGAGAGUCUGAACCAGCCAAGUCGCGUGAGGGAAGACGGCCCUACGGGUUGUAAACCUCUUUUGUCGGAGAGCAAAGCGAGUCACGUGUGACUCAUUGAGAGUACCCGAAGAAACAGCAUCGGCUAACUCCGUGCCAGCAGCCGCGGUAAUACGGAGGAUGCGAGCGUUAUCCGGAUUUAUUGGGUUAAAAGGGUGCGCAGGAGGAGGUGAAAGUCAGCGGUCAAAUUUCGGGGCGCAACCCCGUACUGCCGUUGAAACUGCAUGCCUUGAGUGCGCGAGAGGUAUGCGGAAUGCGUGGUGUAGCGGUGAAAUGCAUAGAUAUCACGAAGAACUCCGAUUGCGAAGGCAGCAUACCGGAGCGCAACUGACGCUCAGGCACGAAAGCGUGGGGAUCGAACAGGAUUAGAUACCCCAGUAGUC
rnacentral:rRNA from 1 species